rnacentral:rRNA from 1 species
AUUAGCUAGUUGGUGAGGUAAUGGCUCACCAAGGCGACGAUCCCUAGCUGGUCUGAGAGGAUGAUCAGCCACACUGGAACUGAGACACGGUCCAGACUCCUACGGGAGGCAGCAGUGGGGAAUAUUGCACAAUGGGCGCAAGCCUGAUGCAGCCAUGCCGCGUGUGUGAAGAAGGCCUUCGGGUUGUAAAGCACUUUCAGUCGUGAGGAAGGUGGUGUAGUUAAUAGCUGCAUUAUUUGACGUUAGCGACAGAAGAAGCACCGGCUAACUCCGUGCCAGCAGCCGCGGUAAUACGGAGGGUGCGAGCGUUAAUCGGAAUUACUGGGCGUAAAGCGCAUGCAGGUGGUUUGUUAAGUCAGAUGUGAAAGCCCGGGGCUCAACCUCGGAAUAGCAUUUGAAACUGGCAGACUAGAGUACUGUAGAGGGGGGUAGAAUUUCAGGUGUAGCGGUGAAAUGCGUAGAGAUCUGAAGGAAUACCGGUGGCGAAGGCGGCCCCCUGGACAGAUACUGACACUCAGAUGCGAAAGCGUGGGGAGCAAACAGGAUUAGAUACCC